CGGCACUAGUUGCGGGGCGCGUUCCGAGCAGCCGGCCCUUGCCGCCCCGCCCCCCGGCACGCAGGCCCGCGGUAUCGCGCACGCGCCCGCGCAACGGCGAUCGUCGAUCAGGCCUAGGGAGGGAGCGGGACUGGGACGAGGACUGGCCAAGGCGGGCGGAGGCUCGGCGCUGAGGUGCGCGGGGAGGAGCCCGGGCCGCGUUGCCCUAGGACGGGAGUAUGUCCGCAACUCGAGCCAAGAAAGUGAAGAUGGCCACCAAGUCCUGCCCUGAGUGCGACCAACAGGUCCCUGUUGCAUGUAAAUCAUGUCCCUGUGGUUACAUAUUUAUUAGCAGAAAACUUUUAAAUGCAAAGCACUCAGAGAAAUCACCAUCUUCUACAGAAAACAAGCAUGAGGCCAAGAGGAGGCGAACAGAGAGAGUUAGGAGAGAGAAGAUAAAUUCUACAGUAAAUAAAAAUUUAGAAAACAGAAAGAGGUCUCGAAGUAACAGCCAUUCAGAUCAUAUCAGACGAGGAAGAGGAAGACCUAAAAGUGCAUCUGCCAAAAAACAUGAGGAAGAAAGAGGAAGCUACUACAAAUUACAUGCCACCAAAAUGAAGCAAAUCAAGCAAGAAUACUGACAUCCAGGACAGAGAGGAUCUAUAUGAGGGAGAUGAGAAGCUCCAGUGUGAUGUUGAAGAACAGUCACAGGAUGAUAAUUGUGCAGUAGGCCUAGAGAGCAACCAUUUCAGAUUGGAGCAGAGAAACAGGAAAAGGAAAUUGACAUCUAUGCUAACCUCUCUGAUGAAAAGGCUUUCGUGUUUUCAGUCGCCUUGGCAGAAAUAAAUAGAAAAAUUAUCAAUCAAAGACUUAUUCUCUGAUCCUUGUCUGAAGAAUCUGUUGAAACUUCUUCAGGAUUACAUCAGCAAAUUCUCAAAGUUAUGGACUCUCAGGAGCAUUCUGACUGCAUCAAUAAGGGGCAUUGAUUGUUUUUAUUUAUCAUUUAGCCUGUGGCACACUUUGGGAGUAAAGCUGUAUGCUCAGAUUGUUCUGGGAUUUCCUUGUUUACCAAGGUGUAUUGUCAGUGUUUUGUGUUGGGAUAUAAGUAAGGGUAUUUACAAAACCAAACGAAACAAAAUGUUGAAUGAAUGGAUAUUAAACAUAAAAAGGGGUAGCAAGGGGUAGCAGUAAGGGUGGCAGUAUGAAAACUAGGGAAAUGAAAUGCUUGAUAGUUUUCAGAUUUGCCACCAGAGAUGGAAUAUUUUAAAUACUAUCAGAAAGAGUGAUGUUUAAAUAUACAUGUAUAUGUCAGAUUUUCAGCACUAACAGGUUGCAUAUAUACAGUUCCUUUACCUUUAAUAAACUGGGAAUUGAUAUUUUAUUGAAUGGGGAAUUAAGAAUAUAAGCUGUAAAUUUUGUCCUGAAUUGAUUUUUUUCCUUGGCCAUUUUUAAGACGAGGUAUGAGUUAUAUUUUAAGAGAUACUUUCUAAACAGUUUGGAAGUUUGGGUGCUAUAUGAAGAAAAACAUUAAGAAUAUAUCAUAUUUCAGAUGUAGACACCUUGUUUUAUUGAAUGUAGUUUAUUUAUUGGUUACAAAAAUUUGUCUCCUCUCAAGAUGGUGCCUGUUAACCUAAACCUUAGAAUAUAUUUAUUACAUGCAAAAUAUUUCUUAGAUAGCCACUUUUAAGCAGUAAUGUUUUUAUCGGAGUGGAUGUUCAUUUAUACAUCCUAUAAUAAUUUAAAUUGUUACUUAACCUCUGAAAGAAGAAAAAUAAAGCUUAAUAUUGAAACUAAGUAGAUUAAAUAUUGUGGCAUAAGCGUUUUGUUCUAGUGAAGUUCCUGAAAUACAUUUCAGUUCUUAGUUUUUCUGGUGCUAAGUGAACUGUUUAUGAUUGAUGCAUAGUAAGUGGCUUUGUAUUUUGGCAUACCAGUUUCAUGGUUAAUAUGUUCAGUUUUGGCAGAAAUUUCCCUUUUCAUUCCCUUCUCUCCCAAUCUAUUUGGAAGUCCCAAAGUCUUAUUAGGAGUCAACAGUUAGACAUCACCUCUAUAGUUAAGAGAAUCUCCCUUUUAAAAAAAGUAUAAUAUAUAUAAUAAUACAUUAUUUAUGGAGCACAGGGUAAUUAGCAUAUCCAUCACAAACAUUUUCAUUUAUGUUGUAAACAAUUAAAAAUCUUCUCUACUAGCUGUUUUGAAGUAUACCAUUAAUUAUUGUCAACCAUAAUUGCCUUUCAAUUUCAACAUUAGCAUUGUCAGCUUCAUCUUUUUAUCUUGCAUCUCCUAUCUGCCCAAAAGAAAACAGGUCUACUUUUUUCCCUCCUUUAUAUAAAUUGGCAGAGGGAGCUUAAAUCCUUUGCUCUUAAUCUUUGUGUAUGCCUGCAGGUGCUACUGCAUUUGCCUUUUGUUUAAAACUCCUCGUAAUGGGCCAGGAACUUAGCUCAGUGGUGCUGUUACCUGCCUUGCAAGUGCGAGGUCCUGAGUUUGAUCCCUGAUACCACAAAAAACCCCCACAAAAAACAAAACUACUAGUAAUAAGGUUUUUCCAUGAUUAUAAUGUACUUUAUUUAUUUAUUUUGGUACUGGGGAUCUAACUCGGGUCCUUUUGUCUGCAGGUCAGGCGGCAGAACCACAAAGCUAAAUCCCCAGCUGUGAAAUUUUAUUUUUAAAAUAUACUGUAGGAAAACUUGAUUUUGAACAAGAAAGCUUAAAAAUAAUAUCUAAAGAUCCUUUGGAACAUACUAUUUAUGUCCCCCAGAAAAAGCAAGAAUAUCUUGUAGAAUAGGCAUCUCUUUAAAGAAUUACUGCUGUCAGAGUCAAUCAGUUAAAAGCUGGAGACCAUUAGAGGAAAGUACUAGAUGUUAAAAUACUCCCUAGAUAGUGAAGGAGAUACCAUGUAGAAAAGUGUUUUACUUAAUGUUCAUAAUGUAAAAUUGUUUGGCAGAGAGGCAAAUUAGGUUUCCCUGUUUAUGACAUCUCAUUUAACCAAUUUCUUUAAAAAUUGUCUUCUCUAGUAGUAAAUUACAAGUUCUCUUAUUGUAAAGCUCAAAAAUUUGUCUAGAUGUAAUGGUCCCAGUAAAUACUUUUUUACUAGUAUUGAAGAAAUCUCUCUUGGUCAGUGGAUAUUCUAAGAGUGUAAUUAUAAUUUUUUAAAUACUUGAUCCAAAAUUUGUUCUGCUCUAAUACAUGUAAGUGGUAUGAUUAUUCAAAAUGUCCUGAAAUUGUUCUAUGUCUGUUGAAGAUAUGUUUCUUUUUCUUUUUCUUUUUUUUUUUUUGCAACAAGGUCUUGCUAUAUAGUGCAUAUAGUUCAGGCUAACCUUGACCUCACUAGUGUAACACAGGCUGGCCUCAAACUCACAGUGAUACUCCUGCCUCAGCCUCCUGAGUGCUGGGAUUACAGAUGUGUGCCACUAUGCCUGGCAUAUUUGUUUUUCAGUAGGAACAAAACGGCAUGAAAGUAAUUUGAGAGAAUUUGGAGCAUAGGCUAAAAUAGACUUUUUUUUUUUUUUGGUACCGGGGAUUGAACUCAGGACCUUGUGCUUGCAAGGCAGGUGGCAGAACUACUGAGCUAAAUCCCCAGCCUUGAUAGUUGUAUUUUUAAACUUCUCCCCUCCCACCAACUCCAUAGUAUUCCAAAAUAUUUGGGGGGAUAAUUUAGCAAUUUAAUGCUUGAAGUUUGGUUUUGUUGUUUAUUAGUUUCAAACAUGAACUUUUAAAAUACUUUCAUGGGGGAGGAAGCCUUGGGUGAUAUUUAAAUGUAAAUUGUCUUAAAGCAAGGGAAAUACUGCAGAAUAUUUCUAAUGUAGCAGUCAAUGGAAAUGAUCAAACACCUUGAGGCAAUUUAUAUUCUGGUCAGAUAAAAAUUAUACUUACAAAAUGCUCAGUGGUUCUGCCACCUGCCUCUCAAGUGCAAAGACCCGAGUUCGAUCCCCAGUACCAGAAAAAAAAAUUAUACUUACGAGGCUGGAAAUGUACCUCAGUGGAAGAGUGCUUUUUUUCUUCCCUUUUGUUAUUAGUGUAUUUUUUUUUUUUGUACGGGGGAUCAAACUUGGGUCCUUGCGCUUGUGAGGCAGGUGGCAGCGGAACCACUGAGCUAAAUCCCCAAAGUGUAUGUUUGCAAUACAUAAUAAAUACAUUCGUUGUAGGGAAUUGGCUCAUAUACAUAUUGCACCUCGAUCUUUUUUACUUUCUCCCUUUUCUCCUGUACCCCCCCAACCUUCAUUAAGAGUGCUUGCCCAGCAUGUUUGAGCCCCUGGGUUCAGAUACCAGCACCAGGACCCCUCAAAAGUUAGAAAUAACUUAAAAAUGUAGUCUGAGUAAAGUCACAUUUCCUAAAAUUUCAGAAGGCACCCUCUGUUUUGUAUCCUAAAAAUAAUUAUAUAAGUGGAAUUUUCCUAA